AUGCACGCUGGCGGCGUGCCUAAUCCAUGCAAGUCGAGCGAACGGACGAGAAGCUUGCUUCUCUGAUGUUAGCGGCGGACGGGUGAGUAACACGUGGAUAACCUACCUAUAAGACUGGGAUAACUUCGGGAAACCGGAGCUAAUACCGGAUAAUAUUUUGAACCGCAUGGUUCAAAAGUGAAAGACGGUCUUGCUGUCACUUAUAGAUGGAUCCGCGCUGCAUUAGCUAGUUGGUAAGGUAACGGCUUACCAAGGCAACGAUGCAUAGCCGACCUGAGAGGGUGAUCGGCCACACUGGAACUGAGAUACGGUCCAGACUCCUACGGGAGGCAGCAGUAGGGAAUCUUCCGCAAUGGGCGAAAGCCUGACGGAGCAACGCCGCGUGAGUGAUGAAGGUCUUCGGAUCGUAAAACUCUGUUAUUAGGGAAGAACAUAUGUGUAAGUAACUGUGCACAUCUUGACGGUACCUAAUCAGAAAGCCACGGCUAACUACGUG
rnacentral:rRNA from 1 species